GUACAUUAGUGCUUGCGCACGACAAUAGUUUUCAUUACAUUCGAGUGUGUGUAUAAAAAUCCUCUGCCGGCCAAAGCUAGCAAGAGGCCAAAGGUUCACAUGGGUAUUGGAUGAAAGCCACCAACGUGCACAUGCUCAUAAGAGCCAGCACUGAAGGCAGCCAUUCGCAAUCAUUAAUGAUCCUUCCGCAGGUUCACCUACGGAAA
rnacentral:misc_RNA from 1 species